rnacentral:rRNA from 1 species
UGGGGAAUGAUUGCACAAUGGGCGAAAGCCUGAUGCAGCAACGCCGCGUGAGUGAUGAAGGCCUUCGGGUUGUAAAGCUCUGUCUUUUGGGACGAUAAUGACGGUACCAAAGGAGGAAGCCACGGCUAACUACGUGCCAGCAGCCGCGGUAAUACGUAGGUGGCAAGCGUUGUCCGGAUUUACUGGGCGUAAAGGAUGCGUAGGCGGACUUUUAAGUGAGAUGUGAAAUACCCGGGCUUAACUUGGGUGCUGCAUUUCAAACUGGGAAUCUAGAGUGCGGGAGAGGAGAAUGGAAUUCCUAGUGUAGCGGUGAAAUGCGUAGAGAUUAGGAAGAACACCAGUGGCGAAGGCGAUUCUCUGGACCGUAACUGACGCUGAGGCAUGAAAGCGUGGGUAGCAAACAGGAUUAGAUACCCUGGUAGUCCACGCCGUAAACGAUGAGUACUAGGUGUAGGAGGUAUCGACCCCUUCUGUGCCGCAGUUAACACAAUAAGUACUCCGCCUGGGAAGUACGAUCGCAAGAUUAAAACUC